GACGAACGCUGGCGGCGUGCUUAACACAUGCAAGUCGAGCGGUAAGGCCCUUUCGGGGGUACGACGAGCGGCGAACGGGUGAGUAACACGUGGGUGACCUGCCCUUACGCUCUGGGAGUAAGCCUGGGAAACUAGGGUCUAAUACCGGAUAUGACUCCAUAACGCAUGUUGUGGGGUGGAAAGCCUUGUGCGGCUAGGGAUGGGCCCGCGGCCUAUCAGCUUGUUGGUGGGUGAUGGCCUACCAAGGCGACGACGGGUAGCCGGCCUGAGAGGGCGACCGGCCACACUGGGACUGAGACACGGCCCAGACUCCUACGGGAGGCAGCAGUGGGGAAUCUUGCGC
rnacentral:rRNA from 1 species